rnacentral:rRNA from 1 species
GACGAACGCUGGCGGCGUGCCUAACACAUGCAAGUCGAGCGGAGCCAACUAAACAAUCCCUUCGGGGUGCGUUUGGGGAGGCUUAGCGGCGGACGGGUGAGUAACGCGUGAGUAACCUGCCCAUUAGUGGGGAAUAACACAGAGAAAUUUGUGCUAAUACCGCAUACUGAAUAUUUACCGCAUGAUAGAUAUUUGAAAGAUUUAUCGCUAAUGGAUGGACUCGCGUCUGAUUAGAUAGUUGGUGAGGUAACGGCUCACCAAGUCGACGAUCAGUAGCCGACCUGAGAGGUUGAUCGGCCACAUUGGGGCUGAUACACGGCCCAGACUCCUACGGGAGGCAGCAGUGGGGGAUAUUGCGCAAUGGGGGAAACCCGGACGCAGCAACGCCGCGUGCAGGAUGACGGCCUUCGGGUUGUAAACUGUUGUCGCAAGGGAAGAAUAAAUGACGGUACCUUGUGAGAAAGCCACGGCUAACUACGUGCCAGCCGCCGCCGUAAGAC